AUGGCCAUACCAUGCUGAAUAUACCGGUUCUCGUUAGAUCACCGAAGUCAAGCAUCAUUGGGCGCGGUCAGUACUUGGGUGGGUGACCACCUGGGAACACCGCGUGCCGUU